ensembl:lncRNA
GCUUAACCCUCGGGGCAUCCUGCUCUCCUAGUCGUCGGCUCCCUUCAUCCGCAUUCCUCGGUGUAGGGGACAGGAUUGGCUUUCUGGCCCUCAUGGAAGUGCCUGGUCUCCUCUCCAGGCCCUCACCUGCCCUUCCUGCAGCCGGAUGGAACCCUUCGCUCCCACACAUCUGCUCCACGGACAUCAGACCCUACUCUUUUAGGACCUUACACACACUGUGACCUUACACUUGCUGUGUCUCCUCACGUCCUCCCCAACUCCACCUGUGUACUGCACAUCUCUGCACCCAGGACACUUCCUGGAGCGUGUAAGAGGCUGUGGUCUUGCCUGGAAUCUGGCUGGGCAGGAGGCACCCAGCUGCCUCAGUCUUGGCUUGACCAUGUAGGGAGAGGAAACCUCCUCCACCUGAAGCGGAGGAGGAACUGUUGAUGGAAACUUGAGGUCUACUCAAGAAUGAGAAAGAGGGCUUCCCUGGUGGCUUGGUGAUAAAGAAUCUGCAUGCCAAUGCAGGAGAUUCAGGUUUGAACCCUGGUCCAGGAAGAUUCCACAUGCCCUGGAGCAACUAAGCCCAUGCGCCAUAGCAACUGAGCCCAAGCUCUAGAGCCCGGAAGCCACAACUGCUGAAGCCUGUGUGCCUAGAUCCUGUGCUCUGCAACAAGAGAAGCCACGCGAUGAGAAGCCCGAGCACCGCAACUACUGAAGCCCGAACGUUCUAGAGCCUGUGUCCAAAGCUGAGAAAAGCCUGUGCAGUAAUAAACACCAGAACGGCCAAAUAAAUAACAUUUUUUAAAAAAGAA